rnacentral:rRNA from 1 species
GACGGAGGAUGCAAGUGUUAUCCGGAAUCACUGGGCGUAAAGCGUCUGCAGGUGGUUUCCUAAGUCCACUGUUAAACCUUGAGGCUCAACCUCAAAUCUGCAUUGGAAACUAGGAGACUUGAGUAUAGUAGGGGUAGAGGGAAUUUCCAGUGGAGCGGUGAAAUGCGUAGAUAUUGGAAAGAACACCGAUGGCGAGGGCACUCUACUGGGCUAUUACUGACACUCAGAGACGAAAGCUAGGGGAGCAAAUGGG